UGCACCUGAUACAGAGAUGUUUAUUUAGUAUUUACAUAAACAUCAAUGCUAAUAUGUUUGGGCAGAGGCCGGUGAAGGUCCAAGUCCAGCAUAACCCUAACAAGUGGUAUCAAAGACAGGAUAGUUAAGGCUAACAGGUGUUGGAAGAAUUGUUUGGCGGAGACCGGUGGAGGGCCAAGUCCAGCACCAGCCGACCAAGUUCAAUAUAACCCUAACAAGUGGUAUCAAAGACAGGACAGUUAAGACUGACAGGUGUUGGGGGAAAUGUUGGGUCGAGGCUGGUGAAGGGCCAAGUCUAACAUCAGAUGGCUAGGAGAUUGUUGGAUGGAGGCCGGUGAAAGGCUAAGUCCAACAUGGUAUAAGGAAAUAAAGUUGUCUUUGCUAUGAGCUAUAAUUUUUGACGUAAUGUUUCCUCUGCACCUCCAUUUGCAUUUGCAAAGCCCGAGCUAUCUGCAUGUUUCUGAAAGAGAAGAAACAAGUCUGAAUUCUAUCUAGUUCCAAAUCCAUUCUAAGGAAAUGCUAUGAAGCUAAUUUUAUCAGGAGAUUACUCAUCCAUCUGCCUCUCGGCUUCAUCACACCUAUCUGCAGCAGGUAAAUGACUCAGACAUUCUCUGUGAUCUGCAUCAAAAUCUUUUCAGUUAAGUCCAUUGCCUGCCAAUUUCAUCUUCUUUCAAGGUUGGAAAUAAACUAAAAUUGAAACAUGUGUUCCAUCUUAGUUGAAAGCCUAAGUCGUGUACCAUAGUCACCCUAAUUCUUGCAUGGGGUCAAUUCUGAUAUUAAAUUGAAGCAUGUGUUCCAUCUCAACUAAUAGUCUACGCUGAUAGUUGGAUUGCACAUUUGUGUUUAUAUAUUUUAUAUGCUCAACAAAAAUGCGCACGCAUAUUAAUUACCUCCCUGCUCGUUAUAUUGGUAUGGCUGCAAUUGCUGACUUUUCCCCAGCCGAAAUUUCUGCAGCAUGGAGCAUUCAUCAAUUCAUACUUGUGCCAUAGAAGAAUAGAGAUAAACAAAACUUGAGCUUAAGUUUGUUAAGCAUAUAAGCAUAAAUAUGCAGUCCAACUAUUAGCUUAGUCUUUUAGUUGAGAUGGAGAACAUGCUUUCAAUGCCAAAA